rnacentral:pre_miRNA from 1 species
AAUAAAUGAAUUUCUGAGUUUCUGAAUAGAAUUUUUGACUCUUCGUCUUAUUUGAAAAUUUUUUAUGAUUAAUAUUGUUAUUAUUAUUACAUGAUAAAACAUGAAUAGUACUUUGCAUGUAACUAAUUUUUUAAUAAAUUUUUCAAAUAAGACGGAUGAUCAAACGUUUCAUACACAAAACUCAUA